UAUUUGCCCGCGUCGGGGCUGGUAGGCACCGGGAGCCUAUCGCGGGCAGCUAACCGCAGGUUUGCGUCUUUGGGAAUGAAUUCUCGUUUGCAGACGAGGAGCUCUGGGCCCGGUUGUCAGUCGUGGUCGCUGGUGCGGCCCAGCGGACCGUGGGGCGGACCCUGGAAGCAGUUACACUGCAGGCGUCUUCUCGGUCCCCAGAAGGCAAAACGAUGGCACCGCUGUCGCCGCCACCGCCCAAACCGGAAGUCGGGCACGCCCUGGUGACCUCGCCAUUGUCCUGAUCGUCACCGGCGCCGCCGUCCCGCUCGCAUCGGCGGCCGUUGGACACUCGCGGGGCUGAGGGCUUGCAUGCGUCAUUCGCUUCCCCAGCAGUCGUACGAGAUCAGCUGUUACGAGCAUUCCCAUCAUGAGGAGUUUCCCAUUUUUUAAAGACAGAGAAUCAGAGUUCAGACAGACUCGCCAACGCCCAUACGGCCGUUUCAUGAUACAGCCAGAAUGGGAACCCGUAAGGUCUCUUGCUACCACAUCCAGGGAACAACUGAAUUUUAUUACAGAGUGGAUUUAUUGUUUAUAGAUUUAUUAUACGUAAAUUGAAUUACGCAGAUCCCAGAUCUGUAUUGCCUGCUGUCCAAGAUCUGACCGUAUUUGCGUCUGAAAGUUUUCCAGUUUUCUAGCUCUUUGCUUGAGAGAAGAAAAAUCUUCAACUCUUCUAGUCAGAAGGUCAGCGGGGUGUGCAGUACUUUUCCCUUGACCUUUUUGUCAUCUCCCUCGACGUGGAAGAAGCUGGAAAGCCCGCACACAAGAUCUACUGUCUGUGCCCCACCCACAGUUUCAACUCUAUGCAUCCUUUCCGUCCCAUAUAAGGGACCAGGUUUCAAAGGACAGACGAAGACAUGACGACAGGUCACGGGUAAGACAAAAGACCUAGGCUGUCAGGUGCCAUUCUGGUGUUGUAGCCCUUCAGGGAUAGGUCGCCUUGCCCACGCUUUUGAGAGCGCCUCCAAGCCCAGGGCCUGUGAAAGUCUCACGUAACGCCCUCUACAUGUUAGGGCCCCCAGCCUUUCUACAGAUAUUAUCGCAAUCAACCGCUCAGGUUGCCCUGUGGAUAGGGUUGGUAUUGUAUGUGUCUUGCAGAUUAA